rnacentral:tRNA from 1 species
GGUUCGUUCGAUUAUCGGAUAGGUCGCAGCCCUGUCACGGCUGAGGGAUGGGUUCAACUCCCAUACGAACCGCCA